rnacentral:lncRNA from 1 species
AUUUGCAACGCUAAUCUAUAUCAUCUGGAGUUUAGGCAUGAACAGAAAAUGUUCAAUGUAAAAUAUUAUAAGUUCUUACUCUUAAAGGCUGCGUUUGGUUCGGAUAUAAAUAAGAACUGCUAGUUCCAGAAAUAGGUUGUUCAGGUAUAAACAGGAACUAGACCAAUUUUACGUUUGGAUAAAAAUUGGGUUGUUCUUAGGAAUAAGAUAAAUAGUAUUUGGAUGGUUAGAUUGGAACAAGAGGAAUAACAGUUAUAAUUUGAAAUUAAAAUUAUAUUAUGUAAUUAAUUACCAUCAAAAUAUUAUUUAAAAAUAAAUAAUAAAUUAAUUAUUAAUAAUUAAUUAUAAAUAAUAAUAAUUAUUAGUAAUUAAUUAUAAAUAAUAAAUUAAUAAUAUCGAUUAUCUAUUUAAUAAUAAUAAU